AGAGUUUGAUCCUGGCUCAGGAUGAACGCUGGGCGGCGUGCUUAACACAUGCAAGUCGAACGAAGCAAUUUCUUGCUUGCAAGAAAUUGACUUAGUGGCGGACGGGUGAGUAACGCGUGGGUAACCUGCCUCAUACAGGGGGAUAACAGUUGGAAACGACUGCUAAGACCGCAUAACCCGCUAGUGUCGCAUGACACGGACGGAAAAUAUUUAUAGGUAUGAGAUGGGCCCGCGUCUGAUUAGCUAGUUGGUAAGGUAACGGCUUACCAAGGCGACGAUCAGUAGCCGACUUGAGAGAGUGAUCGGCCACAUUGGGACUGAGACACGGCCCAAACUCCUACGGGAGGCAGCAGUGGGGAAUAUUGGACAAUGGGGGAAACCCUGAUCCAGCGAACCGCCGCGUGAGUGAAGAAGUAUUUCGGUAUGUAAAGCUCUAUCAGCAGGGAAGAUAAUGACAGUACCUGACUAAGAAGCCCCGGCUAACUACGUGCCAGCAGCGGC
rnacentral:rRNA from 1 species